rnacentral:rRNA from 1 species
UACGAAGGGGGCUAGCGUUGUUCGGAAUUACUGGGCGUAAAGCGCGCGCAGGCGGUCCUUUAAGUCAGGGGUGAAAGCCCAGAGCUCAACUCUGGAACUGCCUUUGAAACUAGAGGACUUGGGUACGGGAGAGGUGAGUGGAAUUCCGAGUGUAGAGGUGAAAUUCGUAGAUAUUCGGAAGAACACCAGUGGCGAAGGGCGGCUCACGUGGUCCCGUUACCGACGCUCAGGCGCGACAGCGUGGGGAGCAA